UACGUAGGGCGCGAGCGUUGUCCGGAAUUAUUGGGCGUAAAGAGCUCGUAGGCGGCCUGUUGCGUCCGCUGUGAAAUCCCAGGGCUUAACCCUGGGCGUGCAGUGGAUACGGGCAGGCUGGAGGCAGGCAGGGGAGAACGGAAUUCCCGGUGUAGCGGUGAAAUGCGCAGAUAUCGGGAGGAACACCGGUGGCGAAGGCGGCAUCCUGGACCGACACUGACGCUGAGGAGCGAAAGCCAGGGGAGCAAACGGG
rnacentral:rRNA from 1 species